GGGCAAUCUACACUGCACCUGGAAUGAUGGCUGCUGAUGCAAGCAGCCUGUCCCUGAGGGAUGCGUGAGGCGUCUGGCUCACGGGCUCUUGUCCUGGUGGGGGACUUCAACCAUCCUGACAUCUGUUGGGAAAACCACACGGCGAGCUGCAAGAGCUCCAGAAGGCUCUUGGAAUCCAUUGAUGAUAGCUUUCUGGUUCAGGUAUUGGACAGACCGACCAGAGGUCAAGCGUUGCUGGACUUGCUGCUCACCAACGCUGAGGAGAUCAUCAAAGGCGUCAAGGUUGGAGGAUGCCUGGG